CCUACGGGCGGCUGCAGUGGGGAAUUUUGGACAAUGGGCGCAAGCCUGAUCCAGCCAUUCCGCGUGAGUGAAGAAGGCCUUCGGGUUGUAAAGCUCUUUCGCAAGGGAAGAAAACUUACAUUCUAAUAAAGUGUGAGGCUGACGGUACCUUGAUAAGAAGCACCGGCUAACUACGUGCCAGCAGCCGCGGUAAUACGUAGGGUGCGAGGGUUAAUCGGAAUUACUGGGCGUAUAUCUAAGGCAGGUGGGAAAUCCCCGAGCUCAACUUGGGAACUGCGUUUGAAACUACAAGACUAGAAUAUGUCAGAGGGGGGUAGAAUUCCACGUGUAGCAGUGAAAUGCGUAGAGAUGUGGAGGAAUACCAAUGGCGAAGGCAGCCCCCUGGGAUAAUAUUGACGCUCAUGCACGAAAGCGUGGGGAGCAAACAGGAUUAGAUACCCUAGUAGUC
rnacentral:rRNA from 1 species